CGUGCGGCUGGGCCAACAGGGAGACGGCCAUCUUUGCAGCCUGGAGGAAGGGCUACCGUCAGCCAUGGAUUCCCUAAGGUUUCCUCCUACCAGAAUGCAGGGGACCUCUACUUUGAACUGCAAACUGGUGCAGGAGUGUCUGAAAAAACGUGGUCAGAUGUGAUUCCAGCUCCACCGUCUGUGAGACCUAGUGAUCUCAGAGAGCUUCAUCAUCAGUUAGCCUGACAGGUCUGGUGAGGAGGAGAGCCAUUGGCAGGGGAAGCCCUCAAGACAGGAAAAAAACCAAAAAAAUAACUUAACAGGGCACUUCAGCAAAAAGGCUUCUGAUAAGUCUUCCAGUGACAGAUGCAGAUGAGCAGGUUGAUGCCAGUGGAAGAGAAGUGCAAGAAGUUAAAAACCUUAAAAUUGAGAAUAAAAGACUGAAGGAUGGACCUCCCUGAUAGUAAAUUCCUUCAAAGACUUACUUGGACAAAACCUAAGGCCCAUGCCCAAUGAUGUCUCACAUUGUUGGUCUUCAGAUUCCUGUAUAUUAGAUUCUGCUCAAAAGCCUUCACAAUCUCAUGUCGUCUUCAACUGUUUCUACUGACCGACCGUGAACUUGAAGACUAAAGAAAUAGCAAGAUUGUAGAAACAAGCCAACUGUGAACAAUGAUAAGU